rnacentral:rRNA from 1 species
CCUACGGGUGGCAGCAGUGGGGAAUAUUGGGCAAUGGGCGCAAGCCUGACCCAGCAACGCCGCGUGAAGGAAGAAGGCCCUCGGGUUGUAAACUUCUUUUAUCAAGGAAGAAACAAAUGACGGUACUUGAUGAAUAAGCAAAGGCUAACAACGUGACAGCAGCGGCGGUAAUCCGGAGGUGGCAAGCGUUAUCCGGAUUUACUGGGUGGAAAGGGGGUGUAGGCGGGACUGAAAGUAAGAUGUGAAAACCAUGGGCUCAACCCAUGGACUGCAUUUGAAACUGUAGUUCUUGAGUGUUGGGGAGGCAGGCGGAAUUCCGUGUGUAGCGGUGAAAUGCGUAGAUAUACGGAGGAACACCAGUGGCGAAGGCGGCCUGCUGGACAAUAACUGACGCUGAGGCGCGAAAGCGUGGGGAGCAAACAGGAUUAGAUACCCGUGUAGUC